GUGAGGAAUAUUGCGCAAUGGAGGCAACUCUGACGCAGCCAUGCCGCGUGCAGGAAGAAGGCGCUACGCGUUGUAAACUGCUUUUAACCGGGAAGAAACCCCAGGACGUGUCCUGGGUUGACGGUACCGGAGGAAUAAGCACCGGCUAACUUCGUGCCAGCAGCCGCGGGAAUACGAAGGGUGCAAGCGUUAUCCGGAUUCAUUGGGUUUAAAGGGUGCGUAGGCGGAGCGUUAAGUCAGUGGUGAAAUCCUGCAGCUUAACUGUAGACUUGCCAUUGAUACUGGCGCUCUUGAGUGCGCUUGAAGUGGGCGGAAUGUGCCGUGUAGCGGUGAAAUGCUUAGAUAUGGCACAGAACACCAAUUGCGAAGGCAGCUCACUAAGGCGAUACUGACGCUGAGGCACGAAAGCGUGGGGAUCGAACAGGAUUAGAAACCCUGGUAGUCC
rnacentral:rRNA from 1 species